rnacentral:rRNA from 1 species
GACGAACGCUGGCGGCGUGCCUAAUACAUGCAAGUAGAACGCUGAAACUUGGCGCUUGCACCGAGCGGAUGAGUUGCGAACGGGUGAGUAACGCGUAGGUAACCUGCCUGGUAGCGGGGGAUCACUAUUGGAAACGAUAGCUAAUACCGCAUAAGAGUAGAUGUUGCAUGACAUUUGCUUAAAAGGUGCAAUUGCACCACUACCACAUGGACCUGCGUUGUAUUAGCUAGUUGGUGGGGUAACGGCUCACCAAGGCGACGAUACAUAGCCGCCCUGAGAGGAUGGUCAGCCGGACUGGGAGUGAGACACGGCCCAGAGGCCUUGGGGAAGCGGCAGGAGUGAAUCUGCGGGAAUGGGCGGAAGUCUGACCGAGCAGGGCCGCGUGAGGGAAGAGGGUUUUCGGGUCGUAAAGGACUGUUGUAAGGGAAGAAAGAGUGUGAGAGUGGGAAGUUGACACUGUGACGGUAUCUUACCAGGAAGCAACGGCUAACUACGUG